rnacentral:rRNA from 1 species
GACGAACGCUGGCGGCGUGCUUAACACAUGCCAGUCGAACGGAAAGGCCCUGCUUUUGUGGGGUGCUCGAGUGGCGAACGGGUGAGUAACACGUGAGUAACCUGCCCUUGACUUUGGGAUAACUUCAGGAAACUGGGGCUAAUACCGGAUAGGAGCUCCUGCUGCAUGGUGGGGGUUGGAAAGUUUCGGCGGUUGGGGAUGGACUCGCGGCUUAUCAGCUUGUUGGUGGGGUAGUGGCUUACCAAGGCUUUGACGGGUAGCCGGCCUGAGAGGGUGACCGGCCACAUUGGGACUGAGAUACGGCCCAGACUCCUACGGGAGGCAGCAGUGGGGAAUAUUGCACAAUGGGCGGAAGCCUGAUGCAGCAACGCCGCGUGCGGGAUGACGGCCUUCGGGUUGUAAACCGCUUUCGCCUGUGACGAAGCGUGAGUGUCGGUAAUGGGUAAAGAAGCACCGGCUAACUACGUG